AACACGUGGGUAACCUGCCCAUAAGACUGGGAUAACUCCGGGAAACCGGGGCUAAUACCGGAUAACAUUUUGAACUGCAUGGUUCGAAAUUGAAAGGCGGCUUCGGCUGUCACUUAUGGAUGGACCCGCGUCGCAUUAGCUAGUUGGUGAGGUAACGGCUCACCAAGGCAACGAUGCGUAGCCGACCUGAGAGGGUGAUCGGCCACACUGGGACUGAGACACGGCCCAGACUCCUACGGGAGGCAGCAGUAGGGAAUCUUCCGCAAUGGACGAAAGUCUGACGGAGCAACGCCGCGUGAGUGAUGAAGGCUUUCGGGUCGUAAAACUCUGUUGUUAGGGAAGAACAAGUGCUAGUUGAAUAAGCUGGCACCUUGACGGUACCUAACCAGAAAGCCACGGCUAACUACGUGCCAGCAGCCGCGGUAAUACGUAGGUGGCAAGCGUUAUCCGGAAUUAUUGGGCGUAAAGCGCGCGCAGGUGGUUUCUUAAGUCUGAUGUGAAAGCCCACGGCUCAACCGUGGAGGGUCAUUGGAAACUGGGAGACUUGAGUGCAGAAGAGGAAAGUGGAAUUCCAUGUGUAGCGGUGAAAUGCGUAGAGAUAUGGAGGAACACCAGUGGCGAAGGCGACUUUCUGGUCUGUAACUGACACUGA
rnacentral:rRNA from 1 species